CUGGGUUUCCCUUGACUGAAAGGGAUCAGUUGGGACUUCGGGAUCUCCUUCCUUCUCGUGUCAUAUCAUUCGAGCAUCAAUAUGAACGUUUCAUGAAUUCAUACAGGUCCUUGGAGAAGAACACCCGAGGUCAAUCAGAUAAAUUUGUUUCCUUAGCGAAAUGAAGAAUCUUAAAUAGGCUGCAUGAUAGGAACGAGACUCUGUACUACAGAGUGAGUUUCAUCACUAAGUUUUUAAUCCUAGAGUAUAAGGAUAUUUGAUCUUAUUUGUUACAUGCCCUCUUCAGGUUCUUAUUGAUAAUAUUAAAUAGUUUUCUCCAAUAAUCUAUACUCCUACAGUUGGAUUAGUGUGUCAAAAUUAUUCAGGGUUAUAUAGGGGCCCACGUGGAAUGUAUUUUAAUGCCAAAGAUAAAGGAGAGAUGAUGUCAAUGAUCUAUAACUAGCCUGCAAAUCAGGCUCUUGUGAAAAAUUCAACUGAUGCCAUGAAGGAAUUAAGGGUCCCUGAGAUUUUACAUUUGGUGAGUUAUCUGCAAUAUGUAAUUUAGACAGACAUAGACAUCUUGAUUAUUUCUAAUUUAACAUAUUGAAAGUUAUUGGUGAGUUAUCUGCGAUAUGUAAUGUUAUAUAGAAUAUAAGUCUAAGUUUAGUUAUUUAUCUUGUCUUGAGUCUUUAUG